rnacentral:rRNA from 1 species
CCUACGGGGGGCAGCAGUGGGGAAUAUUGGACAAUGGGCGAAAGCCUGAUCCAGCCAUGCCGCGUGUGUGAAGAAGGCCUUCGGGUUGUAAAGCACUUUCAGUGGGGAAGAAAGCCUUGGGGCUAAUACCCUCGAGGAAGGACAUCACCCACAGAAGAAGCACCGGCUAACUCCGUGCCAGCAGCCGCGGUAAUACGGAGGGUGCGAGCGUUAUUCGGAAUUACUGGGCGUAAAGCGCGCGUAGGCGGUCUGAUAAGCCGGUUGUGAAAGCCCCGGGCUCAACCUGGGAACGGCAUCCGGAACUGUCAGGCUAGAGUGCAGGAGAGGAAGGUAGAAUUCCCGGUGUAGCGGUGAAAUGCGUAGAGAUCGGGAGGAAUACCAGUGGCGAAGGCGGCCUUCUGGACUGACACUGACGCUGAGGUGCGAAAGCGUGGGUAGCAAACAGGAUUAGAUACCCCAGUAGUC